rnacentral:tRNA from 1 species
GGAGGCGUACCCAAGUCCGGCUGAAGGGGGCUGACUCGAAAUCAGCUAGGGCGUCUUAUUGGCGUCGCGGGGGUUCGAAUCCCUUCGCCUCCUCCA